UGAGGAAUAUUGCGCAAUGGGCGAAAGCCUGACGCAGCAACGCCGCGUGGGGGAUGAAGGUGCUUUGCAUUGUAAACCCCUGUAGGGAGGGACGAAAAAGCCGGUUUUGCCGGCCCUGACGGUACCUCCAAAGUAAGCACCGGCUAACUCCGUGCCAGCAGCCGCGGUAAUACGGAGGGUGCAAGCGUUGUCCGGAUUUACUGGGUGUAAAGGGCGUGUAGGCGGGAGGAUGUGUCGGAAGUGAAAUCGCGCGGCUUAACCGUGUCAAUUGCUUCCGAAACUAUUCUUCUUGAGUACGAGAGAGGCAGAUGGAAUUCCAGGUGUAGCGGUGGAAUGCGUAGAUAUCUGGAAGAACACCAGUGGCGAAGGCGGUCUGCUGGCUCGAUACUGACGCUGAGGCGCGAAAGUGCGGGGAGCAAACAGG
rnacentral:rRNA from 1 species